CUACGUAGGUGGCAAGCGUUGUCCGGAAUUAUUGGGCGUAAAGCGCAUGUAGGCGGUUUGGUAAGUCGGUCGUGAAAAUGCGGUGCUUAACGCCGUAUGGCGAUUGAAACUGCUGAACUUGAGUGCAGGAGAGGAAAGGGGAACUCCCAGUGUAGCGGGGAAAUGCGUAGAUAUUGGGAAGAACACCGGUGGCGAAGGCGCCUUUCUGGACUGUGUCUGACGCUCAGAUGCGAAAGCCAGGGUAGCGAACGGGAUUAGAUACCCCGGUAGUCCUGGCCGUAAACGAUGGGUACUAGGUGUGGGAGGUAUCGACUCCUUCCGUGCCGGAGUUAACGCAAUAAGUACCCCGCCUGGGGAGUACGGCCGCAAGGCUUAAACUCAAAUGAAUUGACGGGG
rnacentral:rRNA from 1 species